CAGCUCUCCGAGUGGUAGGGAUGAUUAUUGGGCCUAAAGCAUCCGUAGCCGGCUCUGUAAGUUUUCGGUUAAAUCUGUAUGCUCAACAUACAGGCUGCCGGGAAUACUGCAGAGCUAGGGAGUGGGAGAGGUAGACGGUACUCGGUAGGAAGGGGUAAAAUCCUUUGAUCUAUUGAUGACCACCUGUGGCGAAGGCGGUCUACCAGAACACGUCCGACGGUGAGGGAUGAAAGCUGGGGGAGCAAACCGGAUUAGAUACCCGAGUAGCC
rnacentral:rRNA from 1 species